AUGAAGAAUGGUUUCCCAGGAAAGUUGGUGGUAAUUGCAGCACUAAUGCUUCUUCUUUUGGCGGAUCUCCGAGCAACUUGUGCAUUAGUUCCUCAUGGUGGUGAUCAUCAUUAGAGUUUGAUAUCGCAUGUUGACAAUAAAGAUGGCACGAGAAAGGUCACAAAAGAAGGUUGCUUUGGAUGUCAAAAUGAGAUGUUUAGCAAGACUACUGCUAUAAUAUUGCCCAUCCGACGCAGCCUGAGACCAAUCAACCUGCCAAAGCCACCUUCACCCACAAGAAGUGGAUUACACAGCCAGUUUGUUCCGGCACCGCCAGACCUGUCCGUUGAUGUUUAGUUGAGAAAUCAUAUGAUGCUCUUCUUCCAAUAAUAAGUCAGUAGGUUAAGUGAUUUGAAUUUGAGAUACUCUUCUUCCAUUAAUAAGUCAAUAGGUUAAGUGAUUUGAAUUUGAAGGUUUUUAAUCUAAAGUGUAAUCGUAUCAAAGUGAACAAUCUUUGGUUAGGCAUUGCUUCUUGAUGUGUUUCAGUGAUUUGAUUUGGAUGGUGGAUAUUCCAAAGCG
rnacentral:sRNA from 1 species